GUCUGGGAUGAAAAGCCCUUAGGGUUGUUAAAGCGCUUUCAGUCGAGGAGGAAAGGCUAGGUGGGUUAUAGCCACAUUGCAUGACCGUUACCGCAAGAAGUAAGCCACCGGCUACCUCCGUGCCAGCAGCCGCGGUAAUACGUAGGGUGCAAGCGUUAUCGGAUUUACUGGGCGUAAAGCGCACGCAGGCGGUUUGGUAAGUCAGAUGUGAAAUCCCCGCGCUUAACGUGGGAACUGCAUUUGAAACUGGCAAGCUAGAGUCUUGUAGAGGGGGAUAGAAUUCCAGGUGUAGCGGUGAAAUGCGUAGAGAUGUGGAGGAAUACCGGUGGCGAAGGCGGCCCCCUGGACAAACACUGACGCUCAGGUGCGAAAGCGUGGGGGAGCAAACAGGAUUAGAUACCCUGGUAGUCCACGCUGUAAACGAUGUCGAUUUGGAGGUUUGUGCCCUUGAGGCGUGACUUCCGGAGCUAACGCGUUAAAUCGACCGCCUGGGGAGUACGGCCGCAAGGUUAAAACUCAAAUGAAUUGACGGGGGCCCGCACAAGCGGUGGAGCAUGUGGUUUAAUUCGAUGCAACGCGAAGAACCUUACCUACUCUUGACAUCCAGAGAACUUUCCAGAGAUGGAUUGGUGCCUUCGGGAACUCUGACACACGUGCUGCAUGGCUGUCGUCAGAUCGUGUUGUGAAAUGUUGGGUUAAGUCCCGCAACGAGCGCAACCCUUAUCCUUUGUUGCCAGCGAUUCGGUCGGGAACUCAAAGGAGACUGCCGGUGAUAAACCGGAGGAAGGUGGGGAUGACGUCAAGUCAUCAUGGCCCUUACGAGUAGGGCUACACACGUGCUACAAUGGCGUAUACAAAGAGAAGCGAACUCGCGAGAGCAAGCGGCCCUCAUAAAGUACGUCGUAGUCCGGAUUGGAGUCUGCAACUCGACUCCAUGAAGUCGGAAUCGCUAGUAAUCGUAGAUCAGAAUGCUACGGUGAAUACGUUCCCGGUCCUUUUACACCCCCCCCGUCCCCCCAUGGGAGUGGUUUGCAAAAUUUUGUUUUAGCUUAACCUUCGGGAGGGCGCUUUACCACCUUUGUGAUUCAUGACUUGGGGGAAAGUGAAACCCAGGGCCCCCCCCCC
rnacentral:rRNA from 1 species